GGGGUGUGGUGUAGUGGUAUCACAUGCGCUUCGCAUGCGCAAGGCCCCGGGUUCGAACCCCGGCACCUCC
rnacentral:tRNA from 1 species